GAUGAACGCUGGCGGCGUGCCUAAUACAUGCUUGUCGAGCGAACAGACGAGGAGCUUGCUCCUUUGACGUUAGCGGCGGACGGGUGAGUAACACGUGGGUAACCUACCUAUAAGACUGGGAUAACUUCGGGAAACCGGAGCUAAUACCGGAUAAUAUUUCGAACCGCAUGGUUCGAUAGUGAAAGAUGGCUUUGCUAUCACUUAUAGAUGGACCUGCGCCGUAUUAGCUAGUUGGUAAGGUAACGGCUUACCAAGGCAACGAUACGUAGCCGACCUGAGAGGGUGAUCGGCCACACUGGAACUGAGACACGGUCCAGACUCCUACGGGAGGCAGCAGUAGGGAAUCUUCCGCAAUGGGCGAAAGCCUGACGGAGCAACGCCGCGUGAGUGAUGAAGGUCUUCGGAUCGUAAAACUCUGUUAUUAGGGAAGAACAAACGUGUAAGUAACUGUGCACGUCUUGACGGUACCUAAUCAGAAAGCCACGGCUAACUACGUGCCAGCAGCCGCGGUAAUACGUAGGUGGCAAGCGUUAUCCGGAAUUAUUGGGCGUAAAGCGCGCGUAGGCGGUUUUUUAAGUCUGAUGUGAAAGCCCACGGCUCAACCGUGGAGGGUCAUUGGAAACUGGAAAACUUGAGUGCAGAAGAGGAAAGUGGAAUUCCAUGUGUAGCGGUGAAAUGCGCAGAGAUAUGGAGGAACACCAGUGGCGAAGGCGACUUUCUGGUCUGUAACUGACGCUGAUGUGCGAAAGCGUGGGGAUCAAACAGGAUUAGACACCCUGGUAGUCCACGCCGUAAACGAUGAGUGCUAAGUGUUAGGGGGUUUCCGCCCCUUAGUGCUGCAGCUAACGCAUUAAGCACUCCGCCUGGGGAGUACGACCGCAAGGUUGAAACUCAAAGGAAUUGACGGGGACCCGCACAAGCGGUGGAGCAUGUGGUUUAAUUCGAAGCAACGCGAAGAACCUUACCAAAUCUUGACAUCCUUUGACCCUUCUAGAGAUAGAAGUUUCCCCUUCGGGGGACAAAGUGACAGGUGGUGCAUGGUUGUCGUCAGCUCGUGUCGUGAGAUGUUGGGUUAAGUCCCGCAACGAGCGCAACCCUUAAGCUUAGUUGCCAUCAUUAAGUUGGGCACUCUAAGUUGACUGCCGGUGACAAACCGGAGGAAGGUGGGGAUGACGUCAAAUCAUCAUGCCCCUUAUGAUUUGGGCUACACACGUGCUACAAUGGACAAUACAAAGGGCAGCGAAACCGCGAGGUCAAGCAAAUCCCAUAAAGUUGUUCUCAGUUCGGAUUGUAGUCUGCAACUCGACUACAUGAAGCUGGAAUCGCUAGUAAUCGUAGAUCAGCAUGCUACGGUGAAUACGUUCCCGGGUCU
rnacentral:rRNA from 1 species